rnacentral:rRNA from 1 species
AUUGAACGCUGGCGGCAGGCUUAACACAUGCAAGUCGAGCGGGGGAAGGUAGCUUGCUACCGGACCUAGCGGCGGACGGGUGAGUAAUGCUUAGGAAUCUGCCUAUUAGUGGGGGACAACAUCUCGAAAGGGAUGCUAAUACCGCAUACGUCCUACGGGAGAAAGCAGGGGAUCUUCGGACCUUGCGCUAAUAGAUGAGCCUAAGUCGGAUUAGCUAGUUGGUGGGGUAAAGGCCUACCAAGGCGACGAUCUGUGGCGGGUCUGAGAGGAUGAUCCGCCAGACUGGGACUGGUACACGGCCCAGACUCCUACGGGAGGCAGCAGUGGGGGAUAUUGGACAAUGGGGGGAACCCUGAUCCAGCCAUGCCGCGUGUGUGAAGAAGGCCUUAUGGUUGUAAAGCACUUUAAGCGAGGAGGAGGCUACUCUAGUUAAUACCUAGGGAUAGUGGACGUUACUCGCAGAAUAAGCACCGGCUAACUCUGUGCCAGCAGCCGCGGUAA